AUUGAACGCUGGCGGCAUGCCUUACACAUGCAAGUCGAACGGCAGCACGGGAGCUUGCUCCUGGUGGCGAGUGGCGAACGGGUGAGUAAUAUAUCGGAACGUGCCCUGGAGUGGGGGAUAACUAGUCGAAAGAUUAGCUAAUGCCGCAUACGAUCUAAGGAUGAAAGUGGGGGAUCGCAAGACCUCAUGCUCGUGGAGCGGCCGAUAUCUGAUUAGCUAGUUGGUGAGGUAAAGGCUCACCAAGGCAUCGAUCAGUAGCUGGUCUGAGAGGACGACCAGCCACACUGGGACUGAGACACGGCCCAGACUCCUACGGGAGGCAGCAGUGGGGAAUUUUGGACAAUGGGCGCAAGCCUGAUCCAGCAAUGCCGCGUGAGUGAAGAAGGCCUUCGGGUUGUAAAGCUCUUUUGUCAGGGAAGAAACGGUGAGGGUUAAUACCUCUUGCUAAUGACGGUACCUGAAGAAUAAGCACCGGCUAACUACGUGCCAGCCGCCGCAGUAA
rnacentral:rRNA from 1 species